CCUGGCGGCAAUAGCGCAGUGGAACCACCUGACCCCAUGCCGAACUCAGAAGUGAAACGCUGU
rnacentral:rRNA from 1 species